rnacentral:tRNA from 1 species
GCGCCCCUUAGCUCAGUUGGAUAGAGCAACGGCCUUCUAAGCCGUGGGUCGCAGGUUCGAAUCCUGCAGGGCGCGCCA